UUCAUAAAAUAUUAUCCUUCU
rnacentral:piRNA from 1 species